CAACCCAAACUGUUAAUCUUCAAUACUCCUUUGUACUUACGAUCUUGUAUCCACUGACUGUUCUGUUAGAUUAACCCAAUAAAUUUCAUUCACUCCGCAUACUCAAUCCUAUAGACACCCCUUUAAUCCUUCAAUCACAGACGUAACUCGAUUUUACAAAACAGUCAAGAGUAUUCAAACCCACUUCAUUUAAAAAUCUCGAUUCACCAUUACAACACUGACUUCAGCAGCGAUUGCCACAGUCUUCCCAAAA
rnacentral:lncRNA from 1 species